UUUCAUCCACAGUUUUGCCGAACGGAUACGGAAAAAGUUGAAUCUAUCAACUAGCUCUGCUACCUUCUUCGUUGCUCUGCCGGGUGGUAGCGCUAUCCUAC